rnacentral:rRNA from 1 species
AGAUUGAACGCUGGCGGCAGGCCUAACACAUGCAAGUCGAGCGGCAGCACGGGUACUUGUACCUGGUGGCGAGCGGCGGACGGGUGAGUAAUGCCUAGGAAUCUGCCUGGUAGUGGGGGAUAACGCUCGGAAACGGACGCUAAUACCGCAUACGUCCUACGGGAGAAAGCAGGGGACCUUCGGGCCUUGCGCUAUCAGAUGAGCCUAGGUCGGAUUAGCUAGUUGGUGGGGUAAUGGCUCACCAAGGCGACGAUCCGUAACUGGUACUGAGAGGAUGAUCAGUCACACUGGAACUGAGACACGGUCAGACUCUACGGGAGCAGCAGUCGGGAAUAUGGACAAUGGGCGAAAGCCUAGAUCAGCCAUGCCGCGUGUGUGAAGAA